CGGGAUUGCCUCAGUAACGGCGAGUGAAGCGGCAACAGCUCAAAUUUGAAAUCUGGCCCUUGGGUCCGAGUUGUAAUUUGGAGAGGAUGUUUUGGGUACCGCCACAGUUUAAAUUUCUUGGAACAGAAUGUCAGAGAGGGUGAGAGUCCCGUCUGGAACUGCGGUAGGGCCUAUGUAAAACUCCUUCGACGAGUCGAGUUGUUUGGGAAUGCAGCUCAAAAUGGGUGGUAAAUUUCAUCUAAAGCUAAAUAUUGGCCAGAGACCGAUAGCGCACAAGUAGAGUGAUCGAAAGAUGAAAAGCACUUUGAAAAGAGAGUUAAACAGUAUGUGAAAUUGUUGAAAGGGAAGCGCUUGCAACCAGACUUGUGUGUGGCGGUUCCCCCUUGCUUCUGCUUGGGCUACUCCGUCAUAUCCAGGCCAACAUCGGUUCUAGGGGUCGGUUAAAGGCCUUGGGAAUGUAUCUACCCCCGGGUAGACUUAUAGCCCAGGGUGUCAUGCGGCCUCCCGGGACCGAGGAACACGCCUCGGCGAGGAUGUUGGCGUAAUGGUUGUCAGCGACCCGUCUUGAAACACGGACCAAGGAGUCUAACAUCUAUGCGAGUGUUUGGGUGUCAAACCCGUACGCGAAAUGAAAGUGAACGGAGGUAGGAAGCCUUAAGGCUGCACUAUCGACCGAUCCUGAUAUUUAUGGAUGGAUUUGAGUAAGAGCAUAGCUGUUGGGACCCGAAAGAUGGUGAACUAUGCCUGAAUAGGGUGAAGCCAGAGGAAACUCUGGUGGAGGCUCGCAGCGGUUCUGACGUGCAAAUCGAUCGUCAAAUUUGGGUAUAGGGGCGAAAGACUAAUCGAACCAUUAUAUGAUAGCUACUAGGUGGUUAAGUGUAACCUCAAAGUGGUUGCAAGUGCCUUAUUCUGGCGCGACACUGCUAAAUUGCGGGGACUUCCUAAAGCUAUUGUUACCAAGCCGGCCCUGAAAAGGGACACGGUGGCCGGGGUAAUGACCUAGGGUAUGGUAAAAACACAAUAGAUGUAACAAUGGAUGAUCCGCAGCCAAGUCCUAAGGGCUCUUUUGAGUCUAUGGAUGCAGUUCACAGACUAAAUGGCAGUGGGCUCUAAGCAAAGAUCUUGGGGCUUAAGAUAUAGUCGGUCCCCGGGGAAAGCCCGGGCGCAUACGCUAAAUCUGUGGUACAGAAUGGCCUCCUUAGGGAGGGGUUGCUACAGACCUGAACGGUGCGGGCACU
rnacentral:rRNA from 1 species